UAUAUGUGUCAAAAUCUGAUCGAUAGACUUGACACGUCUCACAAUAAUAUGAGUUAUAACAUUUGAAAACCAAGCUU
rnacentral:sRNA from 1 species